rnacentral:lncRNA from 1 species
UUGUUUGAUAGUUAAGCUUUAGACUGUAAAUCCAUUUGGAUAUGCUAUGGACGGAUUCUAGAGGCUAUAGGAUAGCUAAAAUCGUCCAUUAGAGUUAUCUAGGAAUGGAUUUGGAUAGCCUUAAGAGAAGAUUAUCCAAUUAGGGUUUAGGUUGUAACCCUUAAGGAGUCUACAAGUAUAAAUAGACCCUAUGGCUGAUGGAAUUCGACACUUGACCUAAAGUAAGGAACCUCUGGUCGAAAUUCCUCCCCUCUCCUCUCUCCUAAAUCAUUCUUAUUGCUUUGGUGUUUGUAAGCCAUUAGAGGAGUGACAUUUGUGACUCUAGAAGCUCCAAGACAUCAAGAUCAACAAGGAACUCAAAGGUAUGAUUCUAGAUCUGUUUCAAUGUUGUUAUUUAACCUAGUUAGUCAUUAGAAGACUUGGAUUCAAAGCAUGUUUAUUAGAAAGCCUAGAUCCGAGCAUUAGGGUUUUGCAUGCGCACAUAGGAAAGUUCUUAUGGCUAAAACCCAUCAGUGGUAUCAGAGCCUAGCUUGGUUUUCUUUAAAUUGUUGCUUGAUUAACUGAAACAAACCUGCAAAAUUCGAUUUUUUGGUUUCUGAGUCACUGACUCGGCGAGUCCCAAGGUGGACUCGGCGAGUAGGCCUGACUCGGCGAGUCCCCUUGUGCACUCGGCGAGUCCAGGCGUCAGGAAUGGCCAGAUUCGGGAUUUCUUUGUGAUUAUCUUAUCUAAACUUUCCAUAAACUAAUUAGAUCAAUGUUAAUUCGUUUUUCUGAUAAAUAUAACUGCAAUCUUGAUCUAAUUAAAGAUAUUUAUCAUAUAAUAAAAUAUUUAAUUUCCUUAUAUGAUAAUUAAUUAAUUAUUUUGAUUAUUUUGGUAAUUAUCUUAAAAGAAAUCUUGAAUAAAUCAAAUAUAGAUAAUUAGGAUAUUAAUUGUUAAUUGGAAUUAUUUGUUAUUUGAUCCUCCAUGUUUUAAAUGUUUAAAACUUGCCCUCAAGUUUUGAAAUUUAUAUUUGUGAUUAAAAGUUUUAAUUUAGACAACUUAAAUUUCAAACCCUAGAUUUUAAAAGUUUUAAAAUACAACCCUAUACUAAUAUGAUAUUACUAGAAUAAUAUAUAUAUGUAUAACUAAAUGCUAGUCUUACCGUUAGUAGGCCUCAUUCACGAAGCCAAUCUAUAAGGUGGGUAUAAGGUUGCGGCCUAUAAAAUGGCGCUUAAUGGGUGUACACUCACACCCACCGCUUGCUUGAUUGGUGGAGGGUCGUUAGCCGAACGGGUAGGAUAGGGCAACCUCAUCCUCUCAUUAAAAGUAUAAUAAGAAAUACAAAGUAACUACACAUAUUUUAAAAUUUCCCAAUCCUAGUUACUUUAGGAAAAGUGAAUUGAUGCAAUCCCAUGAAAUUACACUUUGCACCUUGCUAAGAUGUUAGUGGAGCGUGUGUGGUUUACCGGCACACUAAUUGGUUCUAAGCGAAGGUGGCAAAGGGUGAUUCAUUGUUUAUCAUAGUUCGAUGGAGCGUGUGUGGUUUACCGGCACAUCGAAUAGGUGAUCGUUACAAUGAAGGCACCAUGUGAAUUUGCAUGGUAAUUCACACCCGCUUUGUGAUCCUCGGUAUCCCAGUCACAAACAAGAGGGGCAUAUCGAGAUUUAAACAUGCCAUUGAAUAGUUUCAAUGAAUCUCAUCCGAACCUAGGAAUUCUCAAUACAUUUAGGACUAAUAGUUUAAGUUUUGUGAUGGAGAAUUAGUGAAUCGUCAUUCACUUACCUUCAAUUUAUUUGCAUGUUAGAUUACGGCAUCCCUUUUCUAGUAUGUAAAUGUUAUUGUUGGAUCCUAGCCCUAAUUUUCUUAUUGGGUGAUAAUUAGGGAUUCUUAUUCUAAUCUAUCUUUGUCCUUUUCUAAUUGUAGAUGUCGAACGCAAACAACGCUGCUGCUAGUUCUUUCACGUUGAUGAGCCUUUGCCAAAAGGUCACCUUCGAUGGAACGAACUUUAGCGAAUGGAUAAGAUACAUUCGCACCAUUGCUCGCUAUGAGGAUAAGGAGUAUGUCCUCGAUGAGAAGCUCGAGAAAAUCAACCCCGAAAUCGCUACUCCGGCCGAAAUCACCGCUUUUGAGACUCAUGAGCGAGAUGCAACGAAGGUACAUUGCAUCAUGAUUGCCACCAUGAACUCCGAAUUCCAAAAGUCCUACGAGGACAUGUACCCGUACGAGAUGCACCAAGACUUAUUGGAGAGGUACCACCAAAACGCGAGACAAGAGAGGUACGAGAUUUUCACUAACAUGAUUUCCGCGAAGAUGGGUCAUGGAGAAUCUCUUACCGUGCACUUGCAAAAGAUGCAAAGGUAUGUCGACCGCCUUCGCAAGUUAAAUGUUGACUUCGGUGAAGACUUGGCGAUCGAUAUGGUGCUUCACUCUUUGCCUCCGAUGUACAACCAAUUUAGGAUGACCUACCACAUGAACAAAGAAGAGGUCACCCUAAGCAAACUCCAAGGUCUCUUGAGGGUUGCUGAGAGCAACUUCAAAGACAAGUCUGUUGCACCUACUCCCAAUCCGCCCGCUGCUCCUGUCUUGGCUAUUGGACAAGGGAAGGGAAAGAAGAGGAAAGCUUCAUCGAAGAACUAUCGCAAGGUGAAAGCCCGAGAUGGUGCCUCUUCUAGUGGGACCAAAGUUGAUCCCGCUAAGCCCUGCUCUAACCCGAAGGAGGCAGAGUGCCACCACUGCCACAAGAUAGGACAUUGGAAGAGAAGCUGCCCGGAUUACCUGCAAGCAAUCAAAGAAGGAAAGAUCAAGCCAUCUUUCGCAGGUAUAUACACAAUCAAAUCUAACGAUUCUAAUCAUGCUAUUUCUUGGGUUCUUGAUACCGGUUGUGGUUAUCACAUUUGUUCUAAUGUGCAGGGACUAAGAAGAAGUAGGGAUGUGGAGCAAGGAAGGAUCAAUCUAAUCAUGGGGAACAGAAGAUCGUCGCCUGUGACCAAGAUUGGAGUGUAUUCCUUAGUGCUUAGGAAUAGUUUAGUUUUAGAUUUGAACAAUUGUUGCUAUUCGCCAGAAAUGGCAAGAAACAUCAUUUCAUUUCAUGGUUUAUAUAGACAAGGAUUUAGAUUUUCUUUUAAUAAUGAGAAUGGUUCUAUUUUGGCUUAUCUAAAUGGUGUCUUUUACUUUGAAGCUAUACCAUGUAAUGGAAUAUAUGAAACCGUUAUGAUUGUUGAUAACUUAGGAAAUGAUGUUUUGAAUAUUGAUUCUUCCACUAGUAUGGAUAAAGCAUCCUUGUGGCAUUGUCGUCUUGGACAUGUCAACAAGAAACGCAUAGCCCAACUCCAAAAGGAUGGAGUGUUGGAGUCAUUCGACCUUAGGGAAGAUGACACAUGCGAGUCUUGUUUGCUUGGAAAGAUGACUAAGUCACCCUUCACGAGUACAUGUGAAAGGGGCGAGGGUCUAUUGGACCUAAUACAUACCGAUGUAUGUGGACCGUUUAGAUCAACCACGAAGGAUGGGAACCGCUUCUAUGUGACUUUUACCGAUGACUAUAGUAGAUAUGGGUAUAUCUACUUAAUCAAGCAAAAGUCAGACACCUUUGAAAAGUUCAAAGAGUUCAAGAAUGAAGUGGAGAAUCAAUUGGGCAGGAAAAUCAAGAUGCUUCGAUCCGAUCGAGGAGGAGAGUACCUAAGUCUUGAAUUCCACGAUUAUCUCAAGGAGUGUGGAAUAGUUUCACAAUUGACGCCUCCUAGGACACCGCAGUUGAAUGGUGUGGCAGAAAGGCGUAAUCGAACCUUAUUGGAUAUGGUUCGCUCUAUGAUGAGUCGUGCUUCACUACCAAUCUCUUUUUGGGGGUAUGCCUUAGAGACUGCCGCCCAUAUCCUUAACCGAGUCCCUACUAAGAAGGUUGCCAAAACACCUCACGAGAUGUGGACAGGGAAAGCUCCCUCGUUGGCACAUAUCAAGGUUUGGGGUUGCGAGGCUUUCGUAAGACGAGAUACUCACGACAAGCUUGAACCUCGAAGUGAGCGAUGUAUUUUCAUCGGCUACCCGCAGACAUCCUUUGGAUAUCUCUUCUAUAGACCGAAGGACAAUGUUGUCUUCGUUGCGAGGAGAGGAGUUUUCCGAGAGCGAGAACUCAUAAGCCAAGGAGACAGUGGGAGGCAAAUCGAACUUGAAGAGAUUCAAGAGUCGAUAGAUGAAGGAACCUCUACCGCUGGCACUCAACCCGAGGAGGAAACUCCGGUUGAACCGAUUGACGAAUCCUUACCUCUUAGACGUUCCGAUAGAGUUAGAGUUCAUCCCCAGUUUUAUGGCUUUCAUAUUACUACCGAAGGGGACACGUAUAUUAGUGAUGGUACACUAGUAAAUCUUGAUGAACCUAAUAGCUAUAAGGAAGCCAUGGCAGGCCCGGAGUCUGCAAAAUGGAAAGAGGCAAUGGAUAGCGAGAUCCAAUCCAUGUAUGAUAACCAAGUUUGGAAUUUGGUUGAUUAUGUGCCCGGACGUAAGACCGUUGGGUGCAAAUGGAUCUUCAAGAAGAAGACCGACGUGGAUGGAAACGUACACACAUAUAAAGCGCGAUUGGUUGCGAAGGGCUUUACUCAAACUCCCGGAGUUGACUAUGAUGAGACCUUCUCACCAGUUGCGAAGAUUAAAUCUAUUAGAGUGAUGCUAGCUAUUGCCGCAUUUCAUGAUUAUGAGAUUUGGCAAAUGGAUGUCAAGACCGCUUUCCUUAACGGAAAGUUGGCUGAGGAUGUUUACAUGGCUCAGCCAGAGGGGUUUGUGGAUCCGAAGCAUCCGAAUAGAGUGUGUAAGCUUGAGAAGUCCAUUUAUGGACUUAAGCAAGCGUCUCGCAGAUGGAAUCUUUGCUUCGAUGAGAAAGUCAAAGAGUUUGGAUUUGUACGAAGCGAAGACGAAUCUUGUGUAUAUGUCAAAGCCAGUGGGAGUAUAGUAAGCUUCCUCGUUCUAUAUGUCGAUGACAUAUUACUCAUAGGAAACGACAUCCCGACUCUGCAGGAGGUUAAGUCCUGGCUCGGGAAGUGCUUCGCUAUGAAGGACCUCGGAGAGGCUUCUUACAUUUUGGGAAUAAGGAUAGUAAGAGAAAGAAGUAAGAGACUAAUUGGACUUAGUCAGAAUACUUACUUAGAGAAGGUACUAAAACGUUUUAGUAUGGAAAACUCAAAGAAGGGAGAACUACCGAUACAAAGUAAUGCCAAAUUGAGUAAGACUCAAAGUCCGAGUACCGAAGCUGAGAUAGCAGAAAUGAGCCGAGUACCAUACGCUUCCGCAGUUGGCUCAAUCAUGUACGCUAUGACUUGUACUCGCCCUGAUGUAGCCUUCGCUUUGAGCAUGGUUAGCAGAUAUCAAGGGAAUCCUGGCAAAGCACAUUGGAUUGCGGUGAAGAAUAUCCUUAAGUACCUUCGGAGGACGAAGGAAUGGUUCUUAGUCCUCGGAGGGAGUGAUGACUUGAAGGUGCGAGGGUAUAGUGACGCCAGUUUUCAGACCGACAGGGACAACUACCGUUCGCAGUCGGGCUGGGUCUUUACCCUAAAUGGAGGAGCAGUGACAUGGAAGAGUUCCAAGCAGGAAACCGUAGCUGAUUCAACGUGCGAAUCAGAGUACAUUGCAGCGAGCGAAGCGUCGAAGGAGGCAAUAUGGCUAAAGAACUUCAUCGGUGAUCUUGGAGUUGUACCUGCCAUAAAGGAGCCAAUGGAGAUUUUCUGUGAUAACGAAGGCGCGGUUGCCUUGACCAAGGAACCGAGGGAUCAUGGUAGAUCAAGACAUAUCGACAGAAAGUAUCACUUCAUUAGACAUCGUGUAGAAGAAGGACAACUCGUAGUGAAGAGGAUAUCAUCAGAAGAUAACCCAGCAGAUCCGCUUACGAAGGGACUGAGUAGGGUUAAGCACUUGCAGCAUGCUAGGAGUAUUGGGCUGAAGGAUGAUAUUAGCAUAGAUUAGAUAGUAUUAGAAACGUGUAAUAGAUAAAUGUAAUUAACAUUUGAUGAUUAAAUAAAGGAGUUUUAUUUAUGAGUAAUGUUACUAUCUUAUGUUAAUUGUUUAGCUAUUGUUUCACUUUGCAUGUUUUGACUUCCAGAAUAAUUGAGUUUAUUAGGAAUAAUCGAAUUGUUCAAAUGGUCCACAAUCGUUCAUAUGUUGGGAGUAGAUAUGAAUGAAGAUUGUCAUGAAUUGGUGUGUAGAAUGUCUAAAUGGUGUUAGACAUAGCAAAGGAUUGCUGCAACGUUCAUGAGUGCUUAUGAACUAGUUUUGAGCAUUGGAAUAAACCCGCGCUUGCUGGAAUCACCUUAUGGAAUACGAUAUAAAAGGUGAUCGCAAGACGAUAAUAUCAUAUAGUCUUAAAACCUAGAUAUAUGGUUUAUUAUUUGUUAAUUGAUUGUACAUUGAUAAUACGAAAACGCAUCAGUAACUUGGUGUUAUAAAACGUAUUGUUGUGUAUAGUUGGUAAAUGAAUAAGUAAAUGCAUAUAAGUCGAAGUUUAUCUGUAACUUUUAUCUAAGAAGGUAAAAGCGAUAUCUCGGCCGCUCGAUGAUUUGAUUUGACUUAUGUGCCGGGCCCGGUCAGAACUGAAUUGAUGUGUUCGAUUAAGUUCUAUGUCAAAUAAAUCAGAGAUCGAGAAACCUAAAUGCUUGACUAACCAUUCCAUAGGAUUGUCAGCAUGAUAUCUAACAGAGGACUGUACGUUCCCUUAUCUAAAGGACAAGAUUGAUUAGAUCAGAGUUGACAGCGUCUUUGAGAGCUACGAUUGCAAACCGAAUUGUACUUGUAUAGUUACUAGACUUAUCCAAGUGGGAGACUGUUGGAAUAGUGUCUAAGGCUGUAACUAUAUCCGGUUGUGCAUGGUCCUUUUGGGUUGCCUUCACCAUAGCAACUUGAUAGGAUGAUUUAAUAAGAGAGAGUAAAUAUUAUUAAUAUAUUAUGGGAAUAAUAUAAUGAAUAAUAUAUUUGUUAUUUGAUUAAUAUAAGUCAUAGAAUUAAUUAGAAUUAAUUUGGUGACUUAAAGAGAUUAAUUAAAUAAAGGGGUAUAAACUGUCAAUUGUUUGAUAGUUAAGCUUUAGACUGUAAAUCCAUUUGGAUAUGCUAUGGACGGAUUCUAGAGGCUAUAGGAUAGCUAAAAUCGUCCAUUAGAGUUAUCUAGGAAUGGAUUUGGAUAGCCUUAAGAGAAGAUUAUCCAAUUAGGGUUUAGGUUGUAACCCUUAAGGAGUCUACAAGUAUAAAUAGACCCCAUGGCAUAGGGAAUUCGACACAUCUCCUAA